UACGUAGGGGUGCAAGCGUUGUCCGGAAUUAUUGGCGUAAAGAGCUCGUAGGCGGUCUGUCGCGGUCUGGUGUGAAAACUCAGGGCUUAACCCUGAGCUUGCAUCGGGUACGGGCAGACUAGAGGUGCGGUAGGGGAGACUGGAAUUCCUGGUGUAGCGGUGAAAAUGCGCAGAUAUCAGGAGGAACACCGGUGGCGAAGGCGCUCAUCUGGCCCAAUACUGACGCUGAAGCGCGGAAAGCUAGGGGAGCAAACGGG
rnacentral:rRNA from 1 species